UACGUAGGGUGCGAGCGUUGUCCGGAAUUAUUGGGCGUAAAGAGCUUGUAGGCGGUUUGUCGCGUCUGCUGUGAAAAUCCGGGGCUCAACCCCGGACUUGCAGUGGGUACGGGCAGACUAGAGUGUGGUAGGGGAGACUGGAAUUCCUGGUGUAGCGGUGAAAUGCGUAGAUAUCGAGAGGAACACCUGCGGCGAAGGCGGGUUGCUGGGCUGACACUGACGCUGAUGCGCGAAAGCCAGGGGAGCGAACGGG
rnacentral:rRNA from 1 species